rnacentral:ncRNA from 1 species
UUAAAGUUUGAUUCUUGCUUGAGUUUUUGUUUUUAAAUUAUGGGCACAUGCAAAUAUUAAUGAGGUUGAGGUAUAAAUGCUCAAGGUCUUUAUAUUAGAAGUCAAAGUAUGUUAAAGGGAGAUCGCAGUGUGGAAUUUUAAAGAUUGAACGAAGGUUUGAUUUAGUAAAUUUAAAGAAGACUUGAUUAAAAUUUUGUGCCAGCAGUCGCGGUUAGACUUAGAAGUCUAAUAAAGAUAUUUCGGUAAAAGUUAUAUGGGUAUUUGGGGGUUAAUCGGAGAUUUGAUUUUACGGCGGGUGGAAUUGGUUUGUUAAAAGUAAAUUGAGAUUGGAUUUCAAAAUGAUAGAGGCUUGAAAAAUUAAGAUAUAAAACAAGAUUAGAUACCUUGCUAUACUUAGAGGGAACAAAUAAAACUUGAAUAUUAGUAGUUAUGAGCUUUAAAUUCAAAGAAUUUGGCGGUAUUUUAGUCUUGUUAGAGGAACCUGUUCUGUAAAUGAUACUACACGAAGGAUCUUACUUGCUUUUGUUUUUCAGUUUGUAUACCGUCAUUAUUAGAUAACCUUUAUUGGGGGAGUUAUUGUAAUGUGUGAAGUCAGAUAUAUUAGAUCAAGGUGCAGCUUAUAGGUAAGAAGAAAUGGGUUACAAUAAAAUUUAUUUAUACGUAUUAGUGAUUGAAUAAUUAUUAUGAAGGAGGAUUUAAUUGUAAUGUAAAUUUAAUAAGUUAACGUGAUAUGAGAACUAAAAUAUGUACAUAUCGCCCGUCGCUUCCGUUUAAGGUGGAAUAAGUCGUAACAUAGUAGGUGUACUGGAAAGUGUACCUAGAAUUAU